UACGUAGGUGGCAAGCGUUGUUCGGAAUAACUGGGCGUAAAGGAUGCGUAGGCGGUUAAACAAGUUAUAUGUUAAAUAUAUAGGCUUAACCUGUAGAAAGCAUAUAAAACUGUUUAACUAGAGUGCAGGAGAGGUAAGUGGAAUUCCUAGUGUAGCGGUGAAAUGCGUAGAGAUAUGGAGGAACACCAGUGGCGAAGGCGGCUUCCUGGUCUGCAACUGACACUGAGGCGCGAAAGCGUGGGGAGCAAACAGG
rnacentral:rRNA from 1 species